AAACUUUCAACAAUGGAUCUCUUGGUUCCCGCAUCGAUGAAGAACGCAGCGAAAUGCGAUAACUAAUGUGAAUUGCAGAAUUCCGUGAAUCAUCGAGUCUUUGAACGCACAUUGCGCCCCCCGGCAUUCCGGGGGGCAUGCCUGUCCGAGCGUCAUUG
rnacentral:rRNA from 1 species